GGACUACACGGGUUUCUAAUCCCGUUCGCUCCCCAUGCUUUCGUGGCUGAGCGUCAGGUACGAGCCAGGGGGCCGCCUUCGCCUCUGGGGUUCCUCCGGAUCUCUACGCAUUUCACCACUACACCCGGAAUUCCACCCCCCUCUCUCGUCCUCUAGAAGUGCAGUCUGGCAUAACCCUUCCCGGUUAAGCCGGGAUAUUUCAUACACCACUUGCACCCCCGCCUGCACACCCUUUACGCCCAGUAAUUCCGGAUAACGCUUGCCACCUACGUUUUACCGCGGCUGCUGGCAC
rnacentral:rRNA from 1 species